rnacentral:misc_RNA from 1 species
AACCCAAGAGAGAGUGAGAGGAAAAGUCAAAAAAGUAGAAUGGAAUAGUGGAUCAGUGGAGCAAAGCAAGCAGCGAUUGUCGAUAUUUUUCAUGAAAACAUACAGUUCGUGCAGUGGAAGACAUGUUAGAGAAUUAUAGCCGGACGAAUGUGUACAGAAAUGAAUUUACAAACGCUUUUUCAGGAUUUUAAUCCUAGCAAAUUCGUGGUACACAGUUGUUUGUUGGUAUUUACGGCGUUGUUAGCUUUGAAACUUGACGGCGCUAUAACAUGGUCGUAUUGGGCCGUAUUUACCCCGAUAUGGGUUUGGAAAUUCCUCGUAGUGCUUGGUGCAACAGUUGGCACUUACGUUUGGUGGCAGUACCCUCACUUCAGAUUAGAAGGAGAGGCGUACAUUCACUACAAGGCCAUGCUGAUCAGUCUUGCCAUCCACCUGAUCCUUCUCAUGUUUGAACUACUUGUCUGCGAUCAACUGUCACUGAAACGCCAUGUGUGGAUACUAGUCUUCAUACCCAUAAUUUUUAUAAGUAUAGUAUCCAUUGCCAUUUGCAUAUGGUGUGUACGACAUGACCGCAGUUAUGAGUUGGAGUUGUUUUGUGCUGUCAACAUUCUGCAGUUUAUUUUCCUGGCGCUGAAACUAGACGAGUUCAUCAACUGGUCCUGGGAAGUUGUGUUUGUGCCGCUCUGGAUUCUGAUGUGCCUGAGCCUUGUUGGGGUGCUGUACAGCAUAAUUUUCGCGGGCAUGCUGCUUCGCACGGCGGAGGCCAAUGUGCAGCAACGCCGCAGCAGCUUCCACGCCGCGCUGGCGUACACUUUCACUGUUAUACCGAUCCUGGUGUUCCUGGUGUUACUGACUAACAAAUUGGACGAUGGUAUGCAGCUGUCGUACACGGUGGUCGCUAGCCCGCUCUUUGUGGGUUUUGCUACACUGAUCGUCAUGUCCUUCAGCUCGAAGGGUGGUAACAAAUGGUGGUUCGGCAUCAGAAAAGACUUCUGCCAGUUCCUCCUGUCCGUGUUUCCGCUCCUCCAAGAGUACGCCAACAUCGCCUACAACAACAACAUCAACCGGGGCUCCAACGUGGUCCCCACCGAGCCUCCGGUCACUCAAGAACCUUACCGAGACGAAGACACAAAGAAAGUUAAAGAGAGUAAAAAUCAUAAGAAUCAAAAGAAGAAUGAAGCGAUGAAACCUGUAGUGCCUGUGACUAGUAUAGAUAUGCCUGAUUGACGCUUUAAAUAGGAAGUGAAGUGCUCAUUUGUUGUGUCCUCUUCGGGCAUUGGUGUUGCUGUUCAGUUUUCAAGGUGCAGAUGUUAUGGGGCUUCAAAUAAAAUCAUAAGAAAACUGAAUGAAGACACUUCAUCUUAAGUGUUUUACUGUAAGCAAUGUUUAACAUAUUGUUAAGUUUGGUGUUAAUUUAACUUUAAGCUUUGUUAUAGGGAAUAGUUUAACAAAAUGUUUUUUUUUCUAUGAAUCUUUUCACCUCAAAUGUCAAUGUAGGUUUUUGAGGUUCAAUCUCAAGUUAUGUAAAGUAAUAUUGUUUGUGGCCUGUACACGUCUCUUUUUCUUUCAAAUGAUUUUCGAUAAAAUAGUUCUAACCACACACACUACAUUAAAUUGACUUCAUUGAGUGAGUGCACCAAUGAGAUAUUAUAUUUCCUAAUAUGCACCAAUAACAUCAGCAGAAAGCUGGCCCAUAUUUAGACUCCUAGGGCUCCUGGACACUUUAUAAAGCAUUUAAAAUUUAAUGUGCUUCACGGUCACUAAAGCCCGGGCCUGGACCUAGCCUUGAAGGAAAUGCUGGAAAUAUGGCCCGGGCAAAUAUAUGGGGAGAGAUAUACUGUUUUCUAAAAAAAUUUUGUGUUAUUUCGUUAACACGCUUAUAGGUGCCUGAAAUAAACGAGAACGCUCUGCCAUCCAUCCACACAUUUUAUUUAAAAAAUGAAGAAAGCUUAAUUGUACAAAUUGACUUUGUGUAAAAAGUUAUUGUAGAAAUAGUGUAGACGGGACUAGACGGGAAUUGUGAUUAAUUCAAUGUUAACACAUAAGUUUAGUUGAAAUCUUGUUGUAGUUAUUUAAUGGGGCUAUGGCUAAUGUGUAUUUCGAUUUAUCAUAACGGUACCUCAUUAUAAACACUGACAUAAGUGAGUCUUUGCUAUAGUUUUCACAACUUAUAUUUAUGGCCUUCCAUUUUGGUUUUAUGAUUAAAAACUGAAAUAGACAA